UAGGUACUCCCUCCGUCCCAAAAUUCUUGUCUUAAAUUUGUCUAGAUACGGAUGUAUCAAGUCAUGUUUUAGUAUUAGUAAUUCGUAUCUAGACAAAUCUAAGACAAGAAUUUUGGGACGGAGGGAGUACAUU
rfam:Triticum aestivum genome assembly, contig: Triticum_aestivum_CS42_TGACv1_scaffold_289896_4AL